GAUGAACGCUGGCGGCGUGCUUAACACAUGCAAGUCGAACGGAAAGGCCCUGCUUUUGUGGGGUGCUCGAGUGGCGAACGGGUGAGUAACACGUGAGUAACCUGCCCUUGACUUUGGGAUAACUUCAGGAAACUGGGGCUAAUACCGGAUAGGAGCUCCUGCUGCAUGGUGGGGGUUGGAAAGUUUCGGCGGUUGGGGAUGGACUCGCGGCUUAUCAGCUUGUUGGUGGGGUAGUGGCUUACCAAGGCUUUGACGGGUAGCCGGCCUGAGAGGGUGACCGGCGACAUUGGGACUGAGAUACGGCCCAGACUCCUACGGGCGGCAGCAGGGGGGAAUAUUGCACAAUGGGCGGAAGCCUGAUGCAGCAACGCCGCGUGCGGGAUGACGGCCUUCGGGUUGUAAACCGCUUUCGCCUGUGACGAAGCGUGAGUGACGGUAAUGGGUAAAGAAGCACCGGCUAACUACGUG
rnacentral:rRNA from 1 species